UACGAGAGGUGCAAGCGUUAUUCGGAAUUAUUGGGCGUAAAGGGCGCGUAGGCGGGUCAUUAAGUUUGUUGUUAAAUCCUCUGGCUUAACCAGAGACAAGCAAUAAAAACUGGUAACCUAGAGCGUGAGAGAGAGAAGUGGAAUUCCCGGAGUAGCGGUAAAAUGCGUAGAUCGUCGGGAGGAACACCAAUGGCGAAGGCUGCUUCUUGGCUCAUUGCUGACGCUGAGGCGCGAAAGCGUGGGGAGCAAACAGG
rnacentral:rRNA from 1 species